AGUGGGACAACAAGGAAGGGAAAAAAGCAGCCUUUGCUGUUGUGACACCACAUUUUACUGUCAAAUUUAUCUUCAAAUUUCGUUUCAAAUCGCGAAUAAGCGUUAGCUAAGUGAAGUUAUUGUUCUUUUAUGAAAGUGUAGCCUUCAUUCCUCCGAUUCCGUUGGCAUCGCUUUGUAACCCAGAAACGUUACAAUGGCGAACAACAACAUCGCUUUUAAAACACAGAUCGCUUCCAUCAUGGAGGUGUUGGCCAACGCGGCAGUAGCAGAAAUUUGCAAGCUUAUCGACGACGAUUAUGCGGUUCUUCGUCUCGAAAUUUCGCACAGUCAGAAUGAAAAUAGGACAUUGAAGAGAAAAUUGCAAAUGAUGGAGCUUAAAAUGGCCAGAGAACGCGCGGAAAGAACAAUACGAGAGCGCGCACCAAGCGCUCGCAGUGGAGGAAGAACCUCCGUCAUGGAGAGAAACCGAGGAUGGAGAGGAGGUGGUCUUUUCCCAACCAGAGACAGAUUUCUUGCCACUCAAGGGGAAAGUUCUUGGAGAAACAGAAGAUGUUUCACAGAUGAUCAACCAUCAAAGCGGACUAGUGAAACGGUAGAGCCCACAGUUAUUGAGCUAGAAGACCCAGAGGUGCAAAUUAAGCAGGAGAUCCCAGAGGCUGUCCUACAUGGACCUGAAGGCACGUCCUGGAAAAGAAUAGUGGGCCCCGCCUGUGAUGGAAUGGUCUCGCACACUGUAACUGCUGACCCCCUGGCUUCGUCGGCUGAGCAACCUGGGAGCAGGCAGACUGUUGUGGAGGCAAUGAAAACAGAUCUUGACCAACCAUUGACUGAGAUGGGGGAACACGAGGAGAGGCGAAUAGAGGCAUCCACAUCUUUUAGCCUCGCCGGUUUCAAAGAGUCCGAACUCACAAUUAACAGUGCAAUGUUUCCUUCAAGCUGCAUAGAAGAGCACAAUGUGCUUCCACCAAUGGAACACAGUUCUUUUAGUCGUGUGGUUAAAAUGGAAUCUGAAGAGGCCAACUCUCGACCAAGUACCUCUGCGGACCAGUGGUCAGGGACAGUUGGUGUGGAGUGGAACGCUUGUUUGGCAUCUGAACGGACUGACGAUCGUGGAAGCACAAGUGACACUUUGGAGGUCAGUGGAUCAGACAGCACUCACAGAUUGCAGACUGAGAGGCUGUCUUGUGCAAUUAAUGAACUUAGAGCAGACAAAAUGACUUGGGAGAUGAGGACAUCCGGUGUACAAUGGGAGAUAAACUCUGAAGGUCAGCCAGAGAGUCUUGCACCACAAUUGGUUUCUAUUUUAAGACCAUCAGAUGGGUACAGCUUGCCGUCUUUGGGAAGUGAGAAGUGUGAGACUGAUGUGCUGGUUAAACGAACCAGUGACCAUGGGCAAGUUGCACCUGUAUUGCCCCAGGUAAACAAAGAUGAGUUUUUAGCGGAAAUGCCAAGCGUUGGUAGCUUUGUGAGCCCUAGAAAAGACACACGCAAGGCCAAAAGGAAGAAUGCGACAAAGAAACUUUUCCCCUGUUUGCUUUGUGGUCGAACAUUCAAGUGUCCUAAGCAGGUGGAGAUCCACCAUCGAGUGCACACGGGCGAGAAGCCCUUUCGUUGUUCUCUUUGCCCUGCCAGUUUCUCGGUCGCAGGCAACUUAAAACGGCACCAAAGGGUUCACACAGGGGAGAAGCCAUUCAGUUGUCCUCAGUGUAACAGACGCUUCUCUCUGCGACACCAGCUUCAGAAACAUCUGAGGUGUCAUUCAGGGGAGAAGCCAUUCAGUUGUUUCCGCUGUGGCAAGAGAUUUGCAGAGAAGAGCUAUGUGCGACUUCACCUUCAGAGGUCCCAUUCUGUUUCCAUCAAUUAGUCACUUGAUAAAUGGUCUGCGUAAAAGUGCUUUUACAAAGUACAUUUACUUGACAUUUUCUUCAUAGCAGCAGUAAUGGGCAAUUUUGAAGAGCUUAAUUCAAUGUCAGCCCUUUUUAGAUUGUUACUUUUGUUUGGCCUUGAGUGGGUGGAGUUUGUACCUCCCUAUCUAAAUAUUGAAGUCCUUGAGCAUAUCAGUGGUGUAUUACUUUUCUUCAUGACUUGUGGGUGUGCUGUGGGUGACCCACUUGAAUUUUUUCUCAAAUUUGUCUGUAUUUUUUUCUUUUAUUCUGCAUAAUGUGUAUAUUUGUCGGACAAUUCUGAAUAAAUGAAAACAAAAUAACGCUAGGAGCAUACAAAAACAAAUGUGCAGGGUGCAAGCCUUGUGAACCAUGAAUGGGAUCAUGAUUUGUUUUUUUGUUUUUUUUAAUAGUAUAAAUGAUAACCAAUACAAAUUGGUGGUGGUGACCCUGACACAGUGUGAUUUUGACAAUUUGGUUGUCUCAUUCCAGUUGGUGACUUGUGAAACUGACAAUAAAUUCACUCAUUCGUGAUCCUGGUGUCAUCUCUAAAGUGAAUUAUAAUGCCUCUGGUUAUUUAAGUUGUAUUGGGAUGGCAAGCCAUUAGUCUGUACUUUGUUAUGGUAGCUCUGAUCUGCUCUGGAGAGCUUUAAUACUGCACCAUUUAAUAAUUUAUUAGGUUUCAGAUAUACUUUAGCAGAAAUGUUUUUGCAAAAAGUAGACUUGUAGCCUGGUUAAAACCAGACUCAUUCACUUUGUAAAAUAGCCUUGGGACUCAUGAUUGGGAAACGUUUUCAACUCUAGCAUGGUGAUGGGUGUAGAUUUUGCGUCAACUCUGAAAUCAUUGGUCCAGCCUAACCAAUCAAAUUUGGGGAUUUUGGCUUACUAUACUUUGCCUAACUUUACAAACUGACAAUAAAAAGCAUUAACAGUCAGGGAACAAUGUAUGCAGGCCUACCUUUGCCAUAUAUUAAUUUACACUGUAAUUUAUGAUGUUCGCAGGAAUUGCUACUACUGUUUACCACAGCCACUUUCGAUUUUGAAACUAUAGCAUCAUCCCCUCUCGUCACUGAUUGGUCCUACUUUUCUGGGGUCUGAUGGAAACGUUAGUGAAUUAUGGUGUUCCAGACUAGUACUGUAUCUCCCUGAAAGGAGAUGUAGGUGGCCAGGCUAAUAGACUUGUUUAUUGUGUUAUUUUCUGUAGGUCUAUAUUUUUUCCACUUCUUCAGAAAUGCUUAGUCUAUCUAAUUAGCAAUCGAUCUUUGCUGUAACAUACUAUCUCUGGUAAUCUAAUCAGAUAUGAUUCACUGAAGCAUGAAAUAAACAAAACUAUUAUCAGUGGUUCUCCCAUAGUUUUAUUUCCAGGGAACAAACGUACUAAUGAAAAUGUCCAUCUUUUCUGCAAGGUUUGAUUGGCACAGACUGUGCGGAUGACCCAGUUUAUGUCACCUCUGCUUUCAGACUAUAUAACCAUUUAUACUUUAUUGUUAUCUUGUAUUUUUAUUAAUUACAUUUAAUUAAAUUUCACUCAUGCUUUCUGAGUAACCUUUCCGGCAACCUUUACUUUCAAAAGGGACAUUUUUUGACCAAAAAAACCCCCAAAAAACUUUUAUAUAACAAUAUUUAAGCCCUUUAAAUACAAGCAGUCUUUAGCCUAUUGGUUUGAAUUAGCUUAUCAACAUUACCUGAAUCAAGGGUUAGCAAAUACGUUUUAUUUUUUUAAUUGAAUAACCGGCCAUAACAGUUGAAUGUUAUGUCUUUUAAGUUGAUUCCAAGCGGUUCUUAUUCCCGUUUCCCUUUUACAUGGUCAAACUGUUGCUCCACAUUAUAAUAGUAGCAAUCGUAAUAAUGAUCAUAACAUUACAAUUAUUAUACGGAUAUUGCUGCUGGCUAUGUAGGCUAAGCAUUCCUUGACAGUUUUGCUCAGUGUCCAAAUGCAAUGUUCCAUAGCGAUUUCGUUAUUUCCCUGAGGAUCACACAAAACUACAAGCCCGAUUUUCAUGAAAGCUGGCGGAAUGUAGCGAGGGAAAAUUUCUGAAUCGCCGGGCUGCCUGGCCCGGGCAACUUUAACUACUACAAUGUUGCAUGGCAUGGUAGGCUAUUUGUUCUGUAUAGAUAUCUGCGCUCUCAGAAUGAUCUACUUUCGAGAUGUCUUCAACAUUACAUUUUGCGUGUCCUCUUGCUGCAGAUCAGACAUCCCGCUGACGAUUCAGUCGCAGUGGCAAACAUCCGUUAAUUGAUUAGGCUAUUAAAUUGAUCUGUUUUAGCCUUCACGACUUUUAGGGAGUUUGACACCAUUGCUUGUUUUUCCACUUCAGCCACGAGUUAAAGGGACGCGAGGAUGUGUCAGCCUAUGACUCAUUAAAAUAAACACAUUUACACAUUUUACAUGCGUAGGCUAGGCCUACAGCUACAUAUUUCCACAAGUUUUUAACGUAAGGAUGUAUUAGCUUAACACUGGUGACAAAUAUGUUUUUAAAGAAAUUGUAAAAAAUAUUUAAUUAAUUUAUAUUUUUAAACAAAGCCAGGGAGCCAACAGAGAGUGGCUAAAGGCAGCUCGCGGGUUGCCGACCCCUGUACUGUAUGGCAUUGGUUGCUAGGGAAAGAAAACUUAUGCUAACCUUUAGCUUACAAUGCAUGAAAGUUUGCUCAAAUUGUUGGAAAUUAAAAAAUAUUAAGUCAGGUGUUGCUGGAACCUGCUUAAAUUAAGACCUAUUUUUUUCCUCCCGAACAUUAAUCAUUUGAAAUAGAUAUGAUCUCACAUUGUGUCAACCUCACAUUGGGCCAAUCACAUUUGCACACCACGUCCGAAACUUUUGUCCGUCAAAAAAGAGGUAUGCAUCUGUAUAGCACACGGCUUGGAAUAUUUCCUUCUGACCAAAACCAAGAAGUUCAACAGACGCUGGAAAGCACAUGGAGCUGGCAGUCUUUUCCAGGAACAUCUGGGAAAGAGAGGACGAGAAGGUACAGAGAGAAGCUCAAUGCAGAC